GAUGAACGCUGGCGGCGUGCCUAAUACAUGCAAGUCGAGCGAACAGACGAGGAGCUUGCUCCUCUGACGUUAGCGGCGGACGGGUGAGUAACACGUGGAUAACCUACCUAUAAGACUGGGAUAACUUCGGGAAACCGGAGCUAAUACCGGAUAAUAUAUUGAGCCGCAUGGUUCAAUAGUGAAAGACGGUUUUGCUGUCACUUAUAGAUGGAUCCGCGCCGCAUUAGCUAGUUGGUAAGGUAACGGCUUACCAAGGCAACGAUGCGUAGCCGACCUGAGAGGGUGAUCGGCCACACUGGAACUGAGACACGGUCCAGACUCCUACGGGAGGCAGCAGCAGGGAAUCUUCCGCAAUGGGCGAAAGCCUGACGGAGCAACGCCGCGUGAGUGAUGAAGGUCUUCGGAUCGUAAAACUCUGUUAUUAGGGAAGAACAAAUGUGUAAGUAACUAUGCACGUCUUGACGGUACCUAAUCAGAAAGCCACGGCUAACUACGUG
rnacentral:rRNA from 1 species